rnacentral:rRNA from 1 species
AAUGAACGUUGGCGGCAUGGAUUAGGCACGCAAGUCGAGCGAGAAGAGUUUUGAAGCUUGCUUUAGAACUCGGACAGCGGCGAAAGGGAGAGUAACGCGUAGUUAUGUGCCCUAGGGUCCGGAAUAGCCACGGGAAACUGUGGGUAAUGCCGGAUAAUAUCCCCGGAUCAAAGGUGUGAUUCCGCCCUAGGAGCAGACUGCGUCCUACUAGCUAGUUGGUGGGGUAAUGGCCUACCAAGGCAACGAUGGGUAGCGGGUGUGAGAGCAUGACCCGUCUCACUGGGACUGAGACACUGCCCAGACACCUACGGGUGGCUGCAGUCGAGAAUCUUCGGCAAUGGGCGAAAGCCUGACCGAGCGAUGCCGCGUGCGGGAUGGAGGCCCUCGGGUUGUAAACCGCUGUCGUAGGGGAGGAAGGUUCCGUGAAGAGCGGAAUUUGACCUAUCCUAGGAGGAAGUACGGGCUAAGUUCGUGCCAGCCGCCGCUGUAA